GCGGUAGUAGCUCAGUUGGUCAGAGCACCGUCCUUCCAAGUCGGGUGUCGCCAGUUCGAAUCUGGUCUACCGCU
rnacentral:tRNA from 1 species